UGUGGUUUAAUUCGAUGCAACGCGAAGAACCUUACCUGGCUUGACAUCCCGGAGACCCUUAGGAAACUAGGGGUGCUUCCAUCUGGAAGAAUCUGGAGACAGGUGCUGCAUGGCUGUCGUCAGCUCGUGUCGUGAGAUGUUGGGUUAAGUCCCGCAACGAGCGCAACCCUUGCCUUUAGUUGCCAGCAGCUCGGCUGGGCACUCUAAAGGGACUGCCGGUGUUAAACCGGAGGAAGGUGGGGAUGACGUCAAGUCCUCAUGGCCUUUAUGACCAGGGCUACACACGUACUACAAUGGCCGAUACAAAGGGCAGCGACACUGCGAGGUGAAGCCAAUCCCGUAAAAUCGGUCUCAGUCCGGAUUGGAGUCUGCAACUCGACUCCAUGAAGUUGGAAUCGCUAGUAAUCGUGGAUCAGCAUGCCACGGUGAAUACGUUCCCGGGCCUU
rnacentral:rRNA from 1 species